GCAGUGCUACUUGAAGAUGGACCUGAUCCUGCUCCGUCUUCCAAAAGUGUCCAUGGGUCAAUUUCCAUAUCAUUCUCUUGUGAUAGCACUGACUUGGAUUUUCCUGGCAUAUUAUUUGCAUUUCGUGCUGACGCAACCUGUCUCUGAGGUGGAUUAAUAGUUCCAGUGUAAGAUCCAGGGACACAGAUGCUGGGUUGAAGCAAACUAAGAGCACCAAUAGGGACAGAAGGUGGAUUAAUAGUUCCAGUGUAAGAUCCAGGGACACAGAUGCUGGGUUGAAGCAAACUAAGAGCACCAAUAGGGACAGAAGGUGGUUGGCAGGAGACUGUAUUGUGAAAAGAAGGAAAUAAUAUAGGCAUUGCGGCUUGGAUUCGCCAUCUAAUCAUCUCAGGCAAUUGCAUAGAAUCUAAUUCAUUCUGCACCCACAGAAUAAACAGUGAAAUAAGUAAAGAAUCAUCUGUAAUUUUAUUUCAAUGCUAACUUCUAAAUAAUUUUCUAUCUUCACAGGAAUGACAUCUCAAAGCUUGUAACUCGGAAGAAAACUGAUUAUUUUCUUUUACCUGCAAUGAAACUACGUGAGAGGUGGUGACUAUUUGUCAAGAUAAAAACAACUAAAAAUACCCACUUCUGGACAGAAAAUCAAUUGCAAAGUCUAUAAACCAAAAUAUUGACAUUCAGUCGAAUUAAAAGUACCCAUUACUAAAUUGCAUUACACGUGCAACAAUUAACACCUCAUGACCUCAUUUCCACAUGCUAUUUAGGCAAAUUUCUUUACCUCUAGAACUCUCAAAGCCCAAAAAUUUCCCCCAAACUUCAACUCUUACGAAAUCAUCAAGGCAUUACAUACUACUCAUGAUUACAUCAGAAAAUGAAUGGGCCCCAAAGCCAAUGCAUACUGGAAAACUCCAUAUCCAAGUAAAUUGACAAAGGAUCUACUUAACUAGUGCCUUUAAAAGUACUACUUUCAGAAAUCAUUUGCUUUUAAUCAUUUACUUUUACUGAAUUCAAGAAGUGAUUUCUCAGUUACACUUUUCUUUCUAUAUUCUUAAAUAUCUCCUGUUAAAAAAACCUACCAUUAUGAGAUAGCAAAUCAUAAAAUAUUCAAUUUGAGAAAAAAAAUUCAAAGCUCGCUUUCAAAUAAAUUUAUGGUUUUUUUACCAAAACAAGCAGCAGUAAAUUCAAU
rnacentral:lncRNA from 1 species